rnacentral:rRNA from 1 species
UACGGAGGGGGCUAGCGUUAUUCGGAAUUAUUGGGCGUAAAGGGCGUGUAGGCGGCUUUGUGUGUUCUAUGUGAAAGCCCUCGGCUCAACCGAGGAAUUGCAUGGAAAACUGCAGAGCUUGAGUCCGGGAGAGGAGAGUGGAAUUCCCAGUGUAGCGGUGAAAUGCGUAGAUAUUGGGAGGAACACCGGUGGCGAAGGCGGCUCUCUGGACCGGUACUGACGCUGAGACGCGAAAGCCAGGGGAGCAAACGGG